rnacentral:rRNA from 1 species
GAUGAACGCUGGCGGCGUGCCUAAUACAUGCAAGUCGAGCGAACGGACGAGAAGCUUGCUUUUCUGAUGUUAGCGGCGGACGGGUGAGUAACACGUGGAUAACCUACCUAUAAGACUGGGAUAACUUCGGGAAACCGGAGCUAAUACCGGAUAAUAUUUUGAACCGCAUGGUUCAAAAGUGAAAGACGGUCUUGCUGUCACUUAUAGAUGGAUCCGCGCUGCAUUAGCUAGUUGGUAAGGUAACGGCUUACCAAGGCAACGAUGCAUAGCCGACCUGAGAGGGUGAUCGGCCGCACUGGAACUGAGACACGGUCCAGACUCCUACGGGAGGCAGCAGUAGGGAAUCUUCCGCAAUGGGCGAAAGCCUGACGGAGCAACGCCGCGUGAGUGAUGAAGGUCUUCGGAUCGUAAAACUCUGUUAUUAGGGAAGAACAGAUGUGUAAGUAACUGUGCACAUCUUGACGGUACCUAAUCAGAAAGCCACGGCUAACUACGUG